CACGUAGGGUGCAAGCGUUGUCCGGAAUUAUUGGGCGUAAAGAGCUCGUAGGCGGUUUGUCGCGUCGAAUGUGAAAUCCCGGGGCUCAACCCCGGGCCUGCAUUCGAUACGGGCAGACUAGAGUUCGGUAGGGGAGUCUGGAAUUCCUGGUGUAGCGGUGAAAUGACGCAGAUAUCAGGAGGAACACCGGUGGCGAAGGCGGGACUCUGGGCCGAUACUGACGCUGAGGCACGAAGGUCAGGGGAGCAAACGGG
rnacentral:rRNA from 1 species